rnacentral:lncRNA from 1 species
AUGGCUGACUUCCCUCCCCAUACGGGCACUUUAGGGGCUGGCCGCCAUUUUGUGAGGUUCCUGGAAGGCAGACAUCUCGCGGACACGUCAGGGUUGAGGAAGGUGAGCCUUGCACCGUGGGGGUACCACCACAGCCCAGAGGGGAGCACAAGUGCUUGCUGGAGGAGGAGCCCAUUUUCCAUCGUGAAUCCUGGUAAGCUGUCAUGCUCACAACUGAACAUGGGAAGAGGGCCCCGUUCCCCAACAGAAGACUGUACAAAGCGUGUAUGCCCCUGUUCCUAUGCCGGGGCCGGAGGGGGGGUGGGAGCUGCCGUGCCUGGCUUCCUUGGGCUGCAUGACUUACUUGGCUUGAGACCUCUUCUGGGAGUGAUGACCUUGUUCCUAGGGUUGAUAUCAGAUCAGCAGUGGCAGCCAGGUCUGGAGAGCAGAGGGAUUCUGCAGGGUGUGGACCUCCCCUGA